GUACCCUCAAGCUUUGCUUGGUGUUGGGCGUCUUGUCUACCUCUUUAGCGGGUAGACUCGCCUUAAAGUAAUUGGCAGCCAGUGUUUUUGGCAGUAAGCGCAGCACAUUUUGCGUCUUAGUCCCUAAACAGUGGCAUCCACAAAGCCUCUUUCUCAC
rnacentral:misc_RNA from 4 species